rnacentral:rRNA from 1 species
UACGAAGGGGGCUAGCGUUGUUCGGAAUUACUGGGCGUAAAGCGCGCGCAGGCGGUUCUCCAAGUCAGUGGUGAAAGCCCGGAGCUCAACUCCGGAAUUGCCAUUGAAACUGUUGAACUUGAGGACGAGAGAGGUGAGUGGAAUUCCCAGUGUAGAGGUGAAAUUCGUAGAUAUUGGGAAGAACACCGGUGGCGAAGGCGGCCAUCUGGACCGCAACUGACGCUGAGGCGCGAAAGCGUGGGGAGCAAACAGG